rnacentral:tmRNA from 3 species
GGGGAUGAUCGGCUUAGAUGGCAGGUUUGCUUCAAGCUGAUGCAUGAGAGAGCUGUGGUGACUCUUAAAUCCGCCACAAAGACUAAACGCAAACACUAUAGUCGCAAAGGCAAAAUCAGUUGUUUCUCCAUUUUUUGGGGUCAAUGAUCUAGCUUUCGCUACAGCUCGAGCGUAAGUUCGCUGUAGUGACGUCAAUUUCUGUGAGGCUUCAUAGCGGAACAUUGGUGUAAUAUUUUGAGGCUCUGGAGUGUGAGUGCUUCGGCACAUUCCGAAAUGCAGGAGCUCGGUACGGUGAUGUUUUGCCAACUUUUAAGUCAUCGCACUCAAAUAUCAAAGUCGGCUAUCUCAUGAAGAAAUUAGUUUGAUUCCCUUCCACACGGCGGUUCGAUUCCGCCCAUCUCCACCA